GCCCUGUUAGCUUAGUGGUAGAGCGUCGCACUUGUAAUGCGAAGGUCACUAGUUCAAUUCUGGUACAGGGCA
rfam:Eremothecium cymbalariae DBVPG#7215 chromosome 4, complete sequence.